UUUGUACUCCCCCCGUCCCAAAAUUCAUGACUUACAUUUGUUUAGAUACGGAUGUAUCUAACACUAUUUAGAUACAUCCGUAUCUAAACAAAUGUAAGACUAGAAUUUUGGGACGGAGGGAAUACUAC
rfam:Triticum aestivum genome assembly, contig: Triticum_aestivum_CS42_TGACv1_scaffold_096141_2AL